AUUAUAUUCAAUCCCGUAAAUUAUCAUGUGUCACGUUCUAAUUAAAUGUUGACUUUAUGAAUGAUGAAAAAUGUAUUGUUGUUGUCAAUGUUCAAUCAAAAUGUGACACGUGUCAAUUAUCGUCC
rfam:Glycine soja cultivar W05 scaffold2662_29, whole genome shotgun sequence.